UGAAUCUGCUGCUCUCUGAGAGGCCUCCAGGGAAGAACUGACUCCAUCCAGAACAGAAACUCUUCCAACUUCUUUAUAUAUAGGCUAUUGUCCAGUAAACCCUGCCCCUUCAAUUGGUCAUUUAAUUUUGAUUUUCCUGGCCUUUCUUCCUUAUUAGGAAAUGACCAACUUCCAAGCAGUUACUCUAAGUGAGGCCUAGCCCACCCCUAAAGCCUUAUUAUCACUACAUAUGGUCAUGAAGGACUCAUGGGUAAAAAUAAAUAAAUGGAAGCCACUAGCACCUGCUGGGAGGAGUACUAGGAAGAAACUCCUGCUAUCAGAGAGGAGGAGAUUGACUUGAACAGUACUGUACUGAAAAAUACCUGGGCUAUAGCAAAACAGAGGAGGCGAAGUGCAGGUGGUGAAGGAAUAAGCAGACUCAGACGUACACACAACCUGACAGACUGAACUAGUUUUUAAACCAGCAUGUUUUUCCCCCAAGAAGAAGCGAGGCAGCUUGCCCACGAAUGAAAACUGAAAAAUAGCAUGUAUCUUUCCCUUGUUACAUGUUCAGCUUGAUCAUACGUCUGUUUAAUUGGAAUUAAUUUCCAGUGUGUUCAAUGGGAGUUACCCUUGAAUGUACAUAGGAUUGCAGCCUUAGUGCAUUAAGAAUUGACCAAAAAGUGUGGCUGCAUUAUUAUCUCCAUUAUAUGCAGUCAUAUAUAUGAUAUUGAUCUUCCUACAGGUGGAUGUUAGCGAUCAUGGUUAAUUCUUCAAUGAAUCUGCUUUUUGGAAGGAAAAAAAUAACCAGGGUCUCACUGAACACUGAAUUACAGUGGAUAGCAGGCAAUUUGAGCUAUUCCAUAAGAUGGUUCUUAAAUAAAUAAUGGCCUUACUCGGUGGGGAAAACAAAUAAUGAAUUUUAAUGAUUAUUCCAAUAAAGCUGUGUACAGCAAAUUGACUUCAUCUGUCUGAAUUCCAAACCAAUUAUAAAGCUUUUGGGAACUGGUAUCCCUACAGAACAUGGCGAUGAGAGAAUGACAACAGUGAGGCAUCGUCUAUUUUAGAACAAUCUAACUUCCAAAAUACUCUGAGUUCUCAUAUUAUGUAAUUCCAGUUGUUAAGCACUGCCUUGUUGGCAUUCUGACAUUAGAGUUCUGUUAACAAGUACCCUGGGAAUAGGAUAAUAUACUUUGACACUUACAUAUUGUUGCAUGGUUAGGAUUUUUUUUUUAAGUCUUUGAACACUUUCCAAGUUGAUCUAAUGUUAAAUAAAUUGGAUGUCAGCCGA